AGUGAAUGCUGGCGGUAGGCCUAACACAUGCAAGUCGAACGGCAGCACAGUAAGAGCUUGCUCUUACGGGUGGCGAGUGGCGGACGGGUGAGGAAUACAUCGGAAUCUACUUUUUCGCGGGGGAUAACGUAGGGAAACUUACGCUAAUACCGCAUACGACCUACGGGUGAAAGCAGGGGAUCUUCGGACCUUGCGCGAUUGAAUGAGCCGAUGUCGGAUUAGCUAGUUGGCGGGGUAAAGGCCCACCAAGGCGACGAUCCGUAGCUGGUCUGAGAGGAUGAUCGGCCACCCUGGAUCUGAGGCACGGUCCAGACUCCUACGGGAGGCCGCAGUGGGGAAUAUUGGACAAUGGGCGCAAGCCUGAUCCAGCCCUACCGCGUGGGUGAAGAAGGCCUUCGGGUUGUAAAGCCGUUUUGUUGGGAAAGAAAAGCAGCAGAUUAAUACCCCGCUGUUCUGACGGUACCCAAAGAAUAAGCACCGGCUAACUUCGUG
rnacentral:rRNA from 1 species